CAAUGUGAGGACUAUCUGACUGUGAUAUCUGUUACUCCAUUGAUCGCUAGGGCUGAUUCAGCUAAUCUGACUAGGUAGGUGGGUGUCCCUCCUCCCUCACUGCUCCUUGUGAACCCCUCUUGGUGGAAGAAAAGAGGGCAACCUUCGCAGAUAGAGGAAGACUUAUUCCUCAGUCAAGGGUGUAAUCGUAGCUGCACUCCCCUGCCAGAACCUCCAAAUAAGCUAAUAGGCAAGACUUCUUUACAUAUCUCUAAAAAUGGCAGUUAUAUAUGUGUAAGAUCCUCUCUUU
ensembl:misc_RNA 7SK 7SK RNA